rnacentral:rRNA from 1 species
CCAUAGUCCUCAGGAUAGGCAUCUAUUCUGGGGUAAAGAUUCAUCGGUGAAGGAUGGGCAUGCGUGCCAUUAGCUAGAUGGUGAGGUAACGGCUCACCAUGGCUACGAUGGCUAGGGGUUCUGAGAGGAAGGCCCCCCACACUGGGACUGAGACACGGCCCAACUCCUACGGGAGGCAGCAGUAGGAAUAUUGGUCAAUGGGCGCAAGCCUGAACCAGCCAUGCCGCGUGCGGGAAGAAGGCGCUACGCGUCGUAAACCGCUUUUGUCUGGGGGUAACCGCAGGGACGUGUCCCUGCCUGCAAGUACCAGACGAAUAAGGGUCGGCUAACUCCGUGCCAGCAGCCGCGGUAAUACGGAGGACCCGAGCGUUAUCCGGAUUCAUUGGGUUUAAAGGGUGCGUAGGCGGCCCGGUCAGUCAGCGGUGAAAUGCCCGCGCUUCACGCGGGAACUGCCGUUGAUACUGCCGGGCUAGAAUCUUAGCGAGGCGGGCGGAAUGCGCAGUGUAGCGGUGAAAUGCAUGAUAUUGCGCAGAACGCCGAUUGGGGAGCCAGCUCGCCAGCUGAGUAUUGACGCUGAGGCACGAAAGCGUGGGGAUCAAACAGGAUUAGAUACCCUGGUAGUCCACGCCGUAAACGAUGAUAACUCGCUCUUGGUCCGCAAGGAUCUGGGGCUUAGCGAAAGCGUUAAGUUAUCCACCUGGGGAGUACGCCGGCAACGGUGAAACUCAAAGGAAUUGACGGGGGCCCGCACAAGCGGAGGAACAUGUGGUUUAAUUCGAUGAUACGCGAGGAACCUUACCCAGGCUCGAACGCGAACGAAUACAGGGGAAACUUUGUAGCCAGCAAUGGCGGUCGGCGAGGUGCUGCAUGGUUGUCGUCAGCUCGUGCCGUGAGGUGUCGGCUUAAGUGCCAUAACGAGCGCAACCCCUAUCGAUAGUUGCC